rnacentral:rRNA from 1 species
GACGAACCGUGCGACCGUUAUUCGGAAUCACUGGGCUUAAAGCGCGUGUAGGCGGGGUGGCACGUCGGUCGCUGAAAGCCCCCGGCUCAACCGGGGAAGGGGCGCCGAUACGACCACCCUGGAGGGACGUAGGGGGACCUGGAACUUCCGGUGGAGCGGUGAAAUGCGUUGAGAUCGGAAGGAACGCCCGUGGCGAAAGCGAGGUCCUGGACGUUUACUGACGCUGAGACGCGAAAGCCAGGGGAGCGAACGGG